rnacentral:lncRNA from 1 species
UGGAUUUUCUGUGAUAUCUGGGAACAAGAAGGCUUAUAUGAUUGAACACAUGUUUGAUCUCUUCAUUUUAUCUUAUUUUUCUUUUGUUGGCAUUUUAAGUUGAUAUGAACCUCUGGUACUGAAUAGAUUGUAUUAUCCUCGUGAAUAUUGUUUAUCAAUCUUCUCUAACUUGUUGAUUGGUGAGGAGGGAAGGAAACCAAGCUAUGUAAGAUUUGUCAUCAAUGGCUAGAGUUCUUUAUCGGGUCUUUCAGGGAGUCUGAAUUUUCUUCUUCUUCUUCUUCUUCUUCUUCUUCUUUUCUUUUUUCGAGGGAAUGAUCUUGCAGGCAAGCAAUUCAGCUGGCUGGCAAUAUGUUCCUUAGAUUAUGCAUGAGUUUGAGCAGUUUGAGGCAGAUGCUCAACUUCUUUAUCAUCAUUCAAAAAAAAGAGGUAAGAAUAGAAUUGGUUCAAAUAUUCUAAUUUUUUAAAAAGUAUAGAUCAAAUUAUUAUAUUAGGUUUUGAAAUUUAGUGCUUCUGCUUAAAAAAGUUAAAAUGAUUAUAGUAUAUUUAAAUAUAUUUUUUUUAAAAAAAAAUGGAUUUGAUUAAUUUAUAAAUAAAUAAUAAUGCUAUGUUUAAUUUUAUUGUUAUUGAAUAAUUAAUUAAUUAAUUAAAAUUACAGUAAACAGCCAACUAACGUGCAUUGAUUUUUCUUUGAAAACAUGGGCAUCUUGUUGACAGAGGAAACCUGUGAAAGAAGCCUCCCAUACGAUGAACAUGCAAUUCAAAAUAUGUGAAAGCAAAAGCUGUCUUGCUUGACAUUCUAUUACACUUGUAUAUUUCUUGUCAUAAAAAAAUAUAUAUAUAUAUAUAUCUACAAUAAUAAUAAUAAUAAAAUUGAAAUUAAAUGGUUGGCAUGUGGAGUGUCUCGCAUACCCUAUUUCCUAUUAGGUAUAUAUAUAUAUAUAUAUAUAUUCAUUGGAGAGAAGAAAAAAAAAAUAUAUAUAUGUUGGGUUGGGACCCGG